GGGCUUUAGUGAAAUCACUUGGUGGGAAAAGAGGUUCACAUUGUUUACGGUCUAGUUGCAUCAAGGUAACUAUUGUCGUCCACAGCCUAGAGCUGCAAGCGUUUCAAGAGUCCUGUCUCCGUGCACACAAUGCCUACAGAAGUGACCACGGGUGUCCGGAGUUGACCUGGUCAGUUGACCUGGCCAAACAAGCACAGGAGUGGGCGGACAGGGUGGCAGAGAAAAAAUAUCUCCAGUACAGCGAAAACCCGAAUGUGGGGGAAAGCAUAUUUUUGGUGGAUUCUGAGGACCAGCUGACUGGAGAGGCUGUAACAGAACACUGGUACGCAGAAGGAUACGGAUAUGAUUACAAAAACCCGAGGUGGAGAAAAGAUAGCAAGCGGUUCAGUCAGUUAAUAUGGCGGAACAGUCACGAGGUUGGAGUGGGCGUGGCACAUAUUCCGGGAACAGGAAAACACGUGGUGGUGGCUAACUACAAGCCUCCUGGCAACGGAAACUUUCCCGGAGAAUAUAGGAAAAAUGUUCCGCCGCCGCUACAUGCUAAGGAUAUUCCCAUUGAAGACUGAAAUAUUGGAUGUGUUAUCCUUUUGUUGGGAAUUUCUCAUAAUGCAGUGAGCAUGAAAACACU
rnacentral:misc_RNA from 1 species